rnacentral:rRNA from 1 species
GACGAACGCUGGCGGCGUGCUUAACACAUGCAAGUCGAGCGGAGCGGCGAACGGGUGAGUAACGCGUGAGUAACUGCCCCCCUCUCUGGGAUAAAAGUUGGAAACGGCUGCCAAUACCGGCUAGUGGGGGAUGACUCGCGUCCUAUCAGCUUGUUGGUGGGUUAGUGGCCUACCAAGGGGACGACUGGUAGCCGGCCUGAGAGGGCGACCGGCCACAUUGGUCUGAGAUACGGCCCAAACGACUACGGGAGGCGGCAGUGGGGAAUAGUGCACAAUGGGGGAAACCCUGAUGCCGCAAUGUCGCGUGCGGGAUGUCGGCUUUCGGGUUGUACCCUUCUAUCGGACAAGGCUGGGUAGGUGGAGAAGAAGCGCCGGCUAACUACGUGCCAGCAGCCGCGGUAAUAC